CUACAUAAAAAUCCCUAAAUUUUCUCAUUCAAAACCACGAUUUCACGAUCUGUGAAACGAUUUCUACUUUCUAUAUCAUAAUCUCACGAAGAACUGUAAUUUUCAAUCUCAUCACGAUUUCAAACUGUUUCAUGUUUCCCUCUCUCUAUCUUCUUCUCCAUCAAUCUAUCUUUUGUUUCUCAUAUUGACCUUUAUUUUUUUGUUUCUAAUCUCUGUUUACGGUGCUCUAUUUUGCAUAAAUUUCUUAUGUGACAGAGAGAUAGUAUUCAAGUUUCUGUAAAUUUGGGUAAAGCACGAAGAAGAAAAGCAACUAGCAAGGGUUCAAGCUUUUUGACGGAUGGAGAACGGUAACAAAGUACUGAUCACGCAAACUUCGACAAAAAAAAAAACUUAUUGAAUUUUUGUUUUCUAACAGGACGCAUCAAAGAGAAAAAAGUUAUGGGACUCAUGGUAUAUAUACACACACGGGAGAUCCAGCAAUAAAAAGUUAGCGAGUUGGAGAACUUGAGGAAAGUAAUUAGUUGUACUUCCAAUUUCAAUCUUUGUGUGCUAUUCAAAUGCCUAAUUGAAAUAUCUGAUCAUGAGAAUAAGAAAUUUGACUGAUUGAAAGAUAUAUACAUAUUCAGAAUAUGUGAGUAGUUCUCAGUUUCAAAAUUGAUUUCCUUCUGUAAGUAAGUAUAUAGCUUAUAGAGCUUCUGAAAUCUGGUUUUUCAAAGAUCGAUGCAAAUUUCUAUUUCUAUAUAAGGUUUUGUAAAUUACAUGACUGUUUUGCAUUACACUCAUUUUUUAUUCACAAUUUGUGCAACGAUUACAGAAAUAUAAUUAGCUAGCUUCCUUUCUACUUUCUUAUAACUCUCUUCUCGCAUCUCAGCACAAUCAUCUAAUUAUGUUUAUCUCUUGAAGGUAGGAUGAUUAUCGGAACAACCAUUAUGACAUAAACAAUGGCGUGGAAAAGAGAAGACUAUUCUCCCGGCUGGCAAGUAAAACAAGGAUAACACCAGUAAAGAAUGACAUCUGUCUAUGAUGUAUCCUAGAUAACAAGCAAAAUAUCAAAAAAUGGCUAAUGGCAAGAUUCAUUCAUCUCUCUCAUGCAGCCAUACGUCUCUGUCUAUCUCAGUGGUUGGUUCUGCUCCCAACUUAAAAUUGUUUUUUGUGUUAAGGGUUUAUGAUGUAAUUAUUUCCCUAAAAUUCAGAUCUGUAAAACAGUUGGUAUAAAAUAGAAAGAAAGAUGUUUCAUGGAAAGAAGAUGAUUCAAUGUGUGUUUGAAG
rnacentral:lncRNA from 1 species